UAACAACCUAAGGAAGAGAACAUUGGAAACCCAGCAACCUCCACAACGGAAGCAGAAUAUGUCCCAGUUUCUCCUUCAGCUCCACAGUCUUCAAACACUCACUAAACCCAGCAAACUCCAAUCCAUACCCAGCACCUGUUUCUCUCACCAUCCCAACCUCACCACUUUUCCUCAAAAACCCACCAUACCCAACAAACUCCACCUCUCUCUCCGCCCCUUCUUCCCUCCACCGCUGGAUUCCCCAUAGUAGUAUGCAAAUCCAACGGCUCAGACAGGCCUAGACUUCGAUGUUCUGUCACAGCCAGAAGAGCGAGGAGGAAGCCGCAUCGACGCACCAACGGAAUAUUCUGGAUUAUACUUGCUAACAUUGGAAUUUACUUGGCUGAUCAUGUGUUUCAGGUUUGCGCGAUUAAAUGCUCUACUUGUAGCACAAUUGGCCUACUUGGUACCAGUUUUUAACAGCAACAUUCUGUCAUGCUAAUUGGAGACAUCUUUCGAGCACCCUUUUCUUCUUGUAUAUUUUUGGAAGCUAGUUGAAGAAGAGGAAGGGAAUUUUGCUCUGUGGCUUUGUUAUAUUCUUAUUGGGGUUGGAGCAAAGCUUGUUUCGUGACUUGUUCUACCAAGAAAUGCAGUUUCCAUUGGAGCCUCUGGUGCUGUUUUUGGAUUAUUUACAUUCAGUGUCCUUGCCAAGAUGUCUUGGGACUGGAGGAAGAUCCUCGAAGUGCUUAUAUUGGGUCAAUUUGUUAUAGAAAGGGUGAGCUGAGGUUUUCAGAACGCUGACCUUGUUGCUCCUCAAAUCCUGUUACAGUUUUGUUAUAAUUUGUGUCAAAUUAUCUGGGAUGACAGGUAAUUACACUUCAGACAUCUGUAGUUUUUUUGUUUACGUGUACGUGUGUGCGCAUGUUUAUUUUGUGUUUUUUCGGUUCUUAUUUUUCCCAAGAUCAUUCACCAUAUGUCCCAAGUACAUAUUUGGGUACAGAUUACCAAUAUGAUUCUGUUUUUGUUGCUGUUUUUGGCCACAAGUAGGUUAUGGAAGCGGCCCAAGCUUCUGCUGCAUUAUCGGGAUUCGUUGGCAGAAAUUCGUUGAUGAAUGUCAAUCACAUUGCACAUCUCUCGGGUGCUCUUGUUGGUGUUUUUCUGGUAUGGAUUAUUAGCAAGGUUACUUCUGAACCUCCAUCAGAGGAAGGAUCAAAUUUCCAAAGCAAAACAGGCAGAACUCGAUUAUAGUUCGAUAUCAAAACCACACUUAUAUGCUUGUAUUGCAGCAUUUAAUAUCCUGCUCACCAUUGUGCUCUAUUUUUUGUUGAUCAUGUGUACAUUAUUCUGAUGCUAAUUGGUUCAAUACAAAGAGGAUAUAAUUUGCCCCAA